GUCACUGGUGAUGGUCUAGUACUCACCCGGUCUCUGGUGAGGGUCUGGGUUACUCCUGUCACUGGUGAUGGUCUAGUACUCACCCGGUCUCUGGUGAGGGUCUGGGGUAGUACUCUGUCACUGGUGAUGGUCUAGUACUCACCCGGUCUCUGGUGAGGGUCUGGGGUAGUACUCUGUCACUGGUGAUGGUCUAGUACUCACCCGGUCUCUGGUGAGGGUCUGGGGUAGUACUCUGUCACUGGUGAUGGUCUAGUACUCACCCGGUCUCUGGUGAGGGUCUGGGUGCGGUUCUUGUGGAUGAUCUUGAUAUACCCUGGAGGCUGCACCCAGGCUUCCCCGUCCACCUGCACCGGGACGCCCUCAUCGCCCAGGAUUUUGAUCUUCACUGUACGGCACUGAGAGUGAGACAGACAGCGUCAGGGAGUAGAACGGCGAGACAGACAGACAAACAGACAGACAGACAGGCAGGCAGGCAGGCAGGCAGACAGGCAGACAGACAGACAGGCAGACAGGCAGACAGGCAGGUGUACCUGUGUGAUGCGGUGAUGCUGCAGGUUGAUGACCCGGGACACGGCCAUCUGCAUGCUGCCAAACACGGCCACAACCUCAAGGAUCUUAUCAUCAAAGGACGGAGCUGUGAACAUCUGACAGACAGACAGACAGGUGACAUCACUCAAUCAACAGAGAGACAGGUAACAUGACGGAGAGACAGACAGGUUCAGGUCUCACAUCAUCCUCUUUGGUUCCUCCCCAGAAGUUGGUUCCUCCUGCGUAGCUGGGGAUGUUCAACACAGCGAUGCCUUGAAGGCUGGGCAGAGGGAUGGGCCGCCCAUCACACUGUACACACACACACACACACACACACACUUUGGACUCGUGAUGAAAGGGUCGUCGUGCGCUCGGAACCUCAAGGUUGGUGUUUGAGCCCCGGCUGGCCCAUGUCUCAAGUCGAAGUGUCCCUGAGCAAGACACCUGACCCCUAAUGGCUCGAGGCCACGAGUUAAAAAUGUAAGUCGCUUUGGAUAAAAAGCGUCAGCUAAAUGACCUGUGAUCUAAUGUCAUGUGAUGAUGAUGAUGAUUGUGUCAAUCCCAUACAUUCCAAUGAUAGUCCAUCACAUGAGGAUGAAGAUGACGAUGAUGACUGUGGGUCUCACCUUCCAGCAGAACCUUCUGCUCCAGGUUCUUGUAGGUUCUGUGCAGCAGCUCUUUGGUUCCCAGGACUCCGUACCACAUCAUGUUCUUAGUCCGACUCCUGACCAUCACACACAAAGUACACACUUCAGGUUUCCAUGCAGACAAAGGUUGAUUCUUGUUGACUUGAGUAGUUAGUAGUUAAAUACCUGCACUUCUCUGGAUGCUCAUCUCUCUUGUUGUUGAAGUCCAGAGAUAUUUUAGCAUCCAGUCCGAUUCCAAAGUAGUUAUUCAUGACACACUUCUCAGUAUAGCAGUCUCUGUACACACGGACAGAAAGGCAGAAAGACACUCAGACAGACCAACAGGUAGAGAGACAGACAGUCAGACAGGUAGACAGAGAGACAGACUCACACAUUGUCGGGGUCACAGCUGAACGGGUCGGCAUUGACCAAAAGUUGACUAAUCACAGAACUGCUGGAGAGAGAAACUGAGAUUCCUCUGAGACCUGAUCCACAUACACACAGACGGGUUAACAUCCAACUGAUGACAUCUUCACAAGUUCAAACUUCCUGCGUGACCUUAGAGCUUCGUGCCUGAAUAGAGGAUCUUGGUGUUGAGUGUCGGCAUCUCCCCAUCACCGCCUUUGCUGAUCAGCUUCUCGCAGGGUGUCUUACCAACUGAGGAGACAGACAGGCACAGAGACAGUGGUCAUGGUUAUGUGCUUCCCCUUCUAUUACCUAUCCAUCUGUUACCAGCAGGACCCGAAACAGCAGAACCAGUCCCGUACCUUUGCAUGCGCUGUGGUGCUUUCUGCUAGAAGAUGACUGCAGAGACGCCCCGUCCUCCUCCUCUUCCUCCUCCUCUAAACCCUCGUCCUCCUCAGGCCGGCUGGAAGUGAACAGCUGCUGCUGGGUCUGAAGGUUCUGCUCGUCCACCGCUGGAAGAGAAACUGCAGGAUCAAUAAGAGGUCCGAGGGUCCCUCUAACUGGUGAGUGGUGCCUGUGGACCGGACCUCUCUCUGUAUGCUCCAUGAUCUGCCUGAUGGCUUUUUUCAGACUGUUUGCCCGAAGCAUCAGCUGCUCUCGAGGUUUGAAGAUGGCCGCCGUGGAGGAGGAGGCGCUGCCCCGUGGGGAACAAGGCGGAACAUGAGGAGGAGGAUGGUGACGGUGAUGAUGAAGAGAAGGAGGCCGUUCAACGCUGUCAGCGUCCUCCUGCUCCUCAGCAAUGGUGGGGGGGGGUGCCGGGGGAGGCAGCAUGCAGGCCUGAGACUCCUCAUUCAGAGUCUUCAGAAGGGAGUCAAGUUUCUCCUUCAACACGCCACACUGCAGAGACAUGACAGCAUAGAACUCAUCACAUACAUGACACAUAUAUGUAUAUAUAUAUAUAUAUAUAUAUAAAACAAACCUUCUUGGCCAUGAGCUCAGACUCAUCUGAACUUUCUGUGUUCUUUUCGGAAGCUUUACCCACCCGGGCCACCAAGUCCUUAACCGUCUCACACAGGACCCUGAAGUACACACAGAGAACACACAUUAUAUACACACGGGACCCUGAAGUACACAAAGAGAACACACAUUAUAUACACACGGGACCCUGAAGUACACACAGAGAACACACAUUAUAUACAGAGACAUAUUGAGUCAGACUAACAUGAUACACAUAGACCAACAGUAUAAGCAAGGAAGCUAACUACAGACAGACAGACAGACAGACAGACAGUUGUACCUGGCAGAGGAGAUGACGACAGAGUGCUGGUCUGAGGUCAGUAUCUUGGACAAGUGAGCAGCUACUGAGUCCUCGUAGGUGAGAAUCUGCUGAACCUCGAUCAGCAAUACAAACAAGUCAGUAGGUAAAGUUCUUUAUAUCAUUGAAUAAUUAUCUGAGGAGAAGCUAAAAGCAAAGUGGAGCCCGUUGGAAGUCAUUUCCUGUUACCUCAGAGUCGUCGCUACAGUCUUCAGUAACAGUAGAGCCAGAAUGUUGCCGCGGAAACUUGGUUUCAUAGACCAUAAUACGCCACCUAGAACAGGAGGAGAGACAGUUACCUGUCUCACACCAGCCACCUGUCUCACAUCUGGUACCUGUCUCACAUCUUGGUACCUGUCUCACAUCUUGGUACCUGUCUCGCAUCUUGGUACCUGUCUCGCAUCUUGGUACAUGUCUAGCAUCGUGGUACCUGUCUCACAUCUGGUACCUGUCUCGCAUCUUGGUACCUGUCUCACAUCUUGGUACCUGUCUCACAUCUUGGUACC
ensembl:lncRNA